UAAAACCUUCAACCCGAAAUUUAUCCUGC
rnacentral:piRNA from 1 species